GUAACUAGGGUUUGAAUUCAGGGGAGGCAGGGGUUUGGGGGCCGCCGCAGCCCCCAGCCAAUUUUUUUCUCUCAGUCAAUGGAUAAAAACUACCCGUUUUAGCUCGAUUUCUUUACUUGAAGAAACAUCAGUAUUGUAUUGCGUGAACCUGGAAGCAAUUUUUACGCAAAAACAAGCUGAAAUUGCUGUUCGGGAUGAGCCAAGGCGCCGUCUUUAAGGACGUACUUUGACCUAUAAUCAUUAAUGACAAAGUUAUAUUUAUACUUAACCCAUCAACACCAACACAAGUAAAUAAACUAGGAUCAUUUAUAAAAAAAAGUCAAUGGAACUGAGGACAGGGGACCCUUUAAUAUUUACCUAAAUUUGUAUAUAUAUAUAUUGAGUUACUUAGUUAUUGUCUUUAUUUGGUUUUGUUGUUGUUAUAUGUCACAAACUGCAAAGUUUAUAUGGCAAUAAAACUUUGAAAUUGAAUUAAUAUUAAAUACAUUGUGACCGCGGAUUUUUUCUCAAUAUGGCUUAAAAUGACCCUUUUAAACUUUUCCUUCGAUUCCCUUCCUGGAAAACAUUUGCUGGAUCCUGGAAGCAAUUUUUAUGCAAACAAUUAUUAUCUGUAUUUAAAGAUAUCUUUGCUAGAAAUCAAACUGGUAAAUUAAAAAAAAAAAACAUAUGAAGCAAGAUCAUAGAACGCAAGAUAUUUUUUUUUAUCGAGGACCUUGACUGAUUUCAAUAUUGUUGAAAGCUGAACAGACAUACAGUAUAUAACUACAACCAGGGACUUUCUAUACUAGUAUAUAGUUAGUAUAGAAAGUCCUUGCUACAACGAAUGGGAGUGUUUAACUAUUCUAAUAAUUAAGGCAUUGACCAUAAUGGUCUCGUACGAUUGGGAGAUGUUAAAAAAAUUAUCCAACAGCUGAUUCAGCCGGUAACGAAUUUCCGAUAUCAUAAAAGAUUCGCAAUACAAAGGGAACUUCCUCUGCUUAAUUGAGCCCUAAAUACAUGUGAAUAGCUAAGAUUUAUUCAAAAAUAAUUGUCGAAAGCAAAGUUUCAUAUGAGUUCUCGUACGAAUACUGAAUAACAGACGGACGGCCACACGAAAAAAAAAGUAAUAAAACAAA
rnacentral:lncRNA from 1 species